AGCAGCCGCGGUAAUUCCAGCUCCAAUAGCGUAUAUUAAAGUUGUUGCAGUUAAAAAGCUCGUAGUUGAAUUUCGGGACCAAUCUGCCGGUCGUGCCUCCGGUACGCACUGGUUUUAUUGGUUUCUCCCUUCUGACGAACCAUGAUGUCAUUAAUUUGGUGUCAUGGGGAAUCAGGACUGUUACUUUGAAAAAAUUAGAGUGUUUAUAGCAGGCUCACGCUUGAACACAUUAGCAUGGAAUAAUGAAAUAGGACGUUUGACCCUAUUUUGUUGGUUUCUAGGAUCGACGUAAUGAUUAAUAGGGAUAGUUGGGGGCAUUAGUAUUCAAUUGUCAGAGGUGAAAUUCUUGGAUUUAUUGAAGAUCAACUACUGCGAAAGCAUUUGCCAAGGAUGUUUUCAUUAAUCAAGAACGAAAGUUAGGGGAUCGAAGACGAUCAGAUACCGUCGUAGUCUUAACCAUAAACUAUGCCGACUAGGGGAUC
rnacentral:rRNA from 1 species